GUAGCUACGUAUGGAUUAGAUAAUCGCUGAAAGCAUCUAAGUGAGAAACUAACCUCGAGAUGAGAUUUCCCAUUCGUCAGAAGUAAGACCCCUGAGAGACGAUCAGGUAGAUAGGCUAGAAGUGGAAGUGUAGUGAUGCAUGGAGCGGACUAGUACUAAUAGGUCGAGGACUUAACCAAG
rnacentral:rRNA from 1 species